UGCAUUUUGCCAUGCCAUGAUUCAUUAAACCGGACAUGCAUCAUAUUUGAUUGUGCAUCAUGCCAUGUUCAUGUGUUGGUUGUUUACUAUGUUGUGUGCUUCUUUCUGGUGUUUGCUUCUUCGGGUUGGUUUCGAUAACGUCACGCUUGUGAGGACCCGUUCGUCUACGUUCGUUUGUCUUCUUCAUGGACUCGUUCUUCUUCCUUGUGGGAUUUCAGGCAAGAUUAUCAUACCCUCAAAAUAACUUCUAUCUUUGCUUGCUAGUUGCUCUCUCUUUUGCUAUGCCUAUGCUUCGAUACCUACCACUUGCUUAUCAUGCCUCCCAUUUUGUUGAACCAAGCCUCUAACCCACCUGGUCCUAGCAAACCGUUGUUUGGCUAUAUUACCGCUUUGCUCAGCCCCUCUUAUAGCGUUGUUAGUUGCAGGUGAAGAUUGAAGUUUGUUCCUUGUUGGAACAUGGAGAUGUUGUUCCUUGUUGGAACAUGUUUACUUGUUGGCAUAUUACAAUAUAUCUUCUUUAAUUCAUGCAUCUAUAUACUUGGUAAAGGGUGGAAGGCUCGGACUUAUGCCUGGUGUUUUGUUCCACUCUUGCCUCCCUAGUUUCUGUCAUAUCGAUGUUAUGUUCCCGGAUUUUGCGUUCCUUAUGCGGUUGGGCUAUAAUGGGAACCCCUUGACAGUUCACCUUGAAUAAAACUCUUCCAGCAAUGCCCAACAUUGGUUUUACCAUUCGUUACCUAGCCUUUUCUUUUCCCUUGGGAGUCGCGCUCCUGAGGGUCAUCAUUAUUUUACCCCCCCCCCGGGCCAGUGCUCCUCUGAGUGUUGGUCCAACCUGUCAGCUGCCGGUGGCCACCAGGGGCAACUCUGGGCUGGCCUACCCGUACCUUGGACAAUCCGGUGUGCCCUGAGAACGAGAUAUGUGCAGCUCCUAUCGGGAUUUGUCGGCACAUUCGGGCGGUGUUGCUGGACUUGUUUUAUCUUUGUCGAAGUUGUCUUGUAGAACCGGGAUGCCGAGUCUGAUCGGAAUGUCUCGUGAGAAGGUUUAUCCUUCGUUGACCGUGAGAGCUUGUGAUGGGCUAAGUUGGGACACCCCUGCAGGGAUUUGAACUUUCGAAAGCCGUGCCCGCGGUUAUGGGUAGAUGGGAAUUUGUUAAUGUCCCAUUGUAGAAAACCUGAAGUUGAUCUUAAUUAAAAUACAUCAACCGCGUGUGUAACCGUGAUGGUCUCUUUCUGGCGGAGUCCGGGAAGUGAACACGGUGUUGGAGUUAUGCUUGACGUAGGUUGUUCUAGGAUCACUUCUUGAUCAUACUUUUAUCGACCGUGCUUUGCCUUCUCUUCUCGCUCUCAUUUGCGUAUGUUAGCCACCAUAUAUGCUAGUCGCUUGCUGCAGCUCCGCCUCAUACCUUUUACCUUAGCCAUAAGCUUAAAUAGUCUUGAUCGCGAGGGUGUGAGAUUGCUGAGUCCCCAUGACUCACAGAUACUUCCAAAACCAGCUUGCAGGUGCCGUUGAACCGUGCAGAUGACGCAACCAAGCUCAAGGAGGAGCUCGAUGAAGAUCUUGCCCUUUGUGUUGUUUCGUUCUAGUUGAUCAGUAGUGGCGCCCAGUUGGGGUCGAUCGGGGAUCUGUGUAGAAUUUGGGGUAGUCUUAUUUUAUUUUGGCUCCGUAGUCGGGCCCCGAUUGUAUUUGGAUGAUGUAAUGCUUUAUUCAUGUAUUUGUGUGAAGUGGCGAUUGUAAGCCAACUAUGUAUCUUUUCCCUUAUUGUAUUACAUGGGUUGUUUGCGAAGAUUACCUCACUUGCGACAUUGCUU
rnacentral:lncRNA from 1 species